UCCAAUGCCUCACCCGAUGCCUCGGGCCUUGAUCACGAACCUCCUUCAAAAAUAUAAUACGUCGGGGCAUUCUCUGGUGAAUAAAUACAUAAAACCUCGGGGCAUUACCCGGCCAAAUGAAUACACUUGAAUCAAAUACGAUAAACUAGAAAGAAACAUUCACACUCACAUACAAACAUUCAACCAAAACACAAGUUCUAAAUUUGCCUACCCGAACCUAUAUUUGCCUAUCCAUUUCAACAUAUAAUAAUUCUAUCAUGUUCCAACAAUACUUAUGCUCAUUCCGAAUUGAACGAGACAACACUAAACCAAAGUUAAUCUAAAUUCACCCAGUUUUACCAAUUUCUCAAUUCCGCCUCAAAUUCACUUUUAAUGUUAAAUUUCCACAAAUCAUGAUUUCUAUUUCAACAAUCCACAAUCACUUUUCAACAAAAUUAAGCAACAAAUCAAUAUCAAAGUAGCAAUUCAUCACCAAUCCAAAUCAAACAACACACGAGAUUCCAUUCAAUGCACCAUAUUCCAUCAACAAUGAAAUAAAAAGAGGAAAAGAGUAGAAAUGAACCUCAAUGAUGAUUUUAUUCCAAAUAUCAGUCAAUCAAGAAGACGAAUCCGCGUGCCAAAAAAUCUCGAUUCAAACCUCAACAACGAACCAAUAGGAAAUUCACAACUCGACUGACCAACCCAAAAUAUAGCAAACCCCAAAACAAUUUCACACCAAUGAGACCUAGAUAGAAAAUGAACGUUCGGAACCUUGAUGCUACUGACCCGUUAGUACCCUCGCCAUUUUUCUCAGUUACAGGUGAUGGAGAUGGAUUGAACUCACUGAUUUACUUGUUUUUUGGCAGAUACCGACCGUUUUUUGGUGAAUAUCACUGGAGUCAGACCGCAACAGAUCGGUUCAGUCGAUUUAGGACUAAUUUUGCUAAUUACGGCGAGUUCUCACCAAUUUCAAUGGGUUACCCGAUCGAGUUUUCGCUAUUUUCUGGUGAAGAGAAGGUCGUUGGAACAGUGACACGAUGGAAACUGCUGUUUCUCUCCUCUCUCUCUCCCGCAUCUCAGUUUCUCCAACUAGAUUUCUCCGAUCGAUUGUGCGUCUCCUAGAAGAAGAAAAUCAAAAAUGGAUCCCGUUUCUCCCCCUCAAUCUUCUCUCUCAAUCUACUCCAUUUUUUGUGUACGUAGAAGAAUGAAGCUUUUUGUGGGAAUUCUGUGGAGCAGUGAGGAUGAGUCUACAUUUAUAUAAGGUCUAUGAUGAAGAUAGUGGAUGAGUGUGUGCUCUCUGUGUGCGUGUAUGUGAAUAUUGGUGAAUAAGGAGCCAAAAAUGGAGGUCUUCGUGGCUAUGGUUAAUUGAGAGUCUCUCUUCCAAAUCCCUGGAAAAUGCUCUCUUAUGGAAAAAGAAGCCCUCCUUCUGAAAAAGAUCCCCCCCUGUAUUAUUAUCUAGUGUGUAUAUAUCCUUAGUUGAAGGGGAAAAAAAUGUGAUCAAGAGGGGGUAAGUGGAUGGGGUAACGUGGGUUAGGGGGUGAGGUAGGUGGUUAGGAUAAGGUAGAGGGUGUUGAGAUUUAAUUGGUUGAGUAGUUAGCUUAUUAUUUUUUGUAUUUUUGUGAGAUAUAAUCACAUAGGUGAGGGCACGCAGUAAGACGAGGGUAAAAUGGUAAAAAUGUUUUCAGGGAGGGACAAAAUUACGUGUCUACAGGUGAGGUUCAUUUUUUA
rnacentral:lncRNA from 1 species